rnacentral:rRNA from 1 species
AAAGUGAAUAGUGAAAUCUGGAGGCUCAACCUCACAGGCUAUUAUUCAAACUCACAGACUCGAGAAUGGUAGAGGUAACUGGAAUUUCUGAAGUAGGGGUAAUAUCCGUAGAUAUCAGAAGGAACACCAAUGGCGUAGGCAGGUUACUGGGCUGUUUCUGACACUGAGGCACGAAAGCGUGGGGAGCAAACGGGAUUAGAUACCCCGGUAGUCCACGCCGUAAACGAUGGAUGCUA